UCUGAUUGAGAAAAAAUCCAAGGAGAAAAGGCCACAAAUUACAUUACUAAACAGAUUCAGAGAAGAAAGAAUGUAUUCAAUUUCAUUCCAAUUCUGGAAAUUGUAGGAACCAGAUUUAGAUUUGAAAAAUCCAAGGAGAAAGUCCCACUAUUACAUCACUAAGCAGAUUCGGAAAUGCAUUCAAUUUGUUUACAUUUCUGCUUCUGCACUGUUUCCUUGCACCAACACACAGGUUGAAAACCUUUCUGCCUAGUGUUAUGAUUGGUCUGGUUGAGAGUACUGCAGGUGAGAAGAGAGAGACUUAGAUAUACAUUCAUAAUUGGUAACGAAAACCUCAUUUCUUGAAGCACAUUUAGAGACAUAAAUAUAAGCACUGAGCUGGUUUUUUCCGUGUUAAUUUUCAGAAAAUUUAAUUGCUGAUACUUUGGGUCAUGUUCACCUCAUCUAUCUGCAGUUUGUAAAAGCUCAAGUGUCUUAGUGACUUCCUGACCUUGAAGGUUCUCUCUUCUGCUUGGCAUUUUUGUCGUUAAUUUAAAAGGAACUUGCUAAAACUUCUGAUGUCCCAAGAAGUGCUUUUGCGAUCUUUUUCUGUAACACGAUAUGACUUAUGUGCGCAAGAAUGCCCCUGCUGUUGAGAUGCUAUUCAAUUACGAAUCUGUGCUUAGUUUAACAGUCUUGUAUGUUGCCGUUCUCGAAAUUUCAUGCGUCUAGCAUAUUCAUGUUAUUAAUGUUCUUUCUCUAACUUGCUUACAGAAAUAAAAAUAUUUAUUUCAGAAAUGCAGUGCAUAUCCAUGCUAUACAGAGAAUAUUGAUAUUGUUGCCUGCUCAUUUGGUAUAGCAUGAUCCUAUACAGAAUCUUUAGGUGAGACAUUUCCAAAAUUUUGAUAUAUUUUGGUAAUAGCCUCUGCUGCAUGUAUGGAGAAACUUAAGUCUUGUGGUUCUUAAAAAUUUAGGGUACUAUCUCAGAAGUUAAGAAUCUUUUUGGUGUCGUUCAUCCUUGGUAGCAAAAAUGUGUUUGUCCUUGUUUCCCUGAUUUAGAAAAUUUAGGAUUUAGGCGGAUAAUUGUCUGAAGUGCAUGCUGUAGGCCUGACCUACUACAACUUUGUAGCUACAAAUUCAAUAUGGUGUAGGAGGGGCAGUUAGAAUGACUAUUCCAUUGAGUAUGAUUUGAAUUAACUCCAAUGCGAAGGUUCGACACGAGGAAACUUUAUCAUCCAUGUUGUUAUGUGUUAUCCAGAUGUCUUUCUUAUGGUGCUUACUCUAUAUUUCAUCAUAUGCUUAUGCAAUGUGGAUUUGCAGAGUUUAGCAAAGUUCCUCUGCACAUUCUCCAUCAGGUUCUUGCCCAGCUUCAAGAUAGUGUAUUUUCCAGAAGGAACACAAGUGUGCUUCUCAAAAUCACAGGCUCACCAAUAUCAUGCAACAUCUUCGGUAUCUUUGGUCCCUUGUCACGGACCGGAUAACUCCCUAGCUAUCUUCCGUGCGGCCUUAGUCACAAUUCGUCCCUGCGAUGUUCUAAGUCAGCCUUUCCCCGAACGAAUGCCACAACAAAGCUAAGAGAAGCUAAGAAGAGAAGCUUGCAAGAAAGCUUUGUAUUACACAAGAGAAAGCUUUGUACAAGUGUUGGAUUGCUCUAUGUCUUCU
rnacentral:lncRNA from 1 species